UGACCCUUUGUGUUGGUGUUUCCUUCAUUUGGGCAGUUACCUGUAGAUGUGGCCUAUGCAGGAAUCAAACUCAUAAUAGGGAUAUUGCUGCAAACAACUGGUGUACCUGGCAUUGGUGUGUACAUUGACCUAUUGGAGAACACACACACACACACACAAACACACUUCACUGUUGGAAGGCGUAUGAAAAUCAGGGUCAUGACUGACUCAACAAAAAUGUCUAAAGGUGAAAAAUUCGAAUGGUUCUCUCUGCCUCUCGCACUUAUCCUCCACUCUUCUCCUCCACUCUUAUCCUCCACUCUUCUCCUUUUCACUUCUUUCUUUCUUUUCUUCUUCUCUCAUUCUUUUUUUGUGCCUGUCUUUGAAGUGAGGAAGUUUGCAGAAAACCUCUCAGAAGAAAAGCAGCAAACGCCAAAGAUGAAGAGAAGGCUUUAUGGAUAGAGAAACAGAGAAUGGGGAGAAAGGAGAGCGAGGAGUUUAGACUUCUGCACUGUUUCCUCUCUCUUCAGUCUGUCUGUCGUUUUUUUUGAAGCGCAUUGUCUCUCUUCUCUUCUUCUCUCCCCUGUUUUUCUCAAGCUGGUCAUCUCCAGAAUGAAUAGAAGGCUUGUACUUACAGUCCUGGCCCUGAAUGUUGUAACCAAUGAAAUCAAGGUAUCCACCUCCCAACCUCUCACACCAUCCAACUCCACUCCUGCUACCUUCAUUCCCCCUGCUCCCACCACUUCCUGUGUGUGUAAAGUCUCCACUUCCUGUUCCUCUCCGACCCAGCCCGAGUCUCCGCCACCUGCGCUGGGUGUUAUCAAGGUCAAAUGGGAAGAAAAGUCCUGUAAGGGGGACGUACACCUGUCUCUCCUCUCGUCCCAUUCCUUGCCAGUUUGCUUUAACAGUCUUACCCAUCGUAGUCUUCAUCGCGCAGGGCUGUGUAAGAGGAAGGGCUGCGAGGGCUCCCCAACAUGGACUAAGAUCAAUCCUAAAGCUUUGGGUUACCAGAUCAGUACGAAUGGAAGUGUUGCCAACAACCCCUGUACAACACUGGGGAUCCAAUGCGAAGGUGAGUCCUGUAUGUUUGUGUGUCCUUUCUGCGUAUAUUUCUCUAAGUGUCUUGACAAUGGGUUGAAAUACCACACAUGCGUACAAGUACAUGAAUAUCUUUGUAAGUACACUUUUUACAUAUUUUUGUCAGUGUUUUAUACGGUGCUGUAAAACAAUAGCCUGGUCCCAUAUCUAUUUAGAUUGUCUUGCCAAAUGACCAUAGGAGUUGGUAAGACUGUACGAACAGAUCUGGGGCCAGCCUAGUAAAGUCAUGGUUAAAUAUGAAUCUCAUCUCCUCUCCACUCCAGUCGUCUCAGAUCAGUUAGUGGGCUAUAAGGUGGUGACUGGUCUGCUGUGUGUUCUGGUGCUGGUGGUGCUGAUGGUGCGUUUCGGGCAGCCCUCCUUCAAGGCCCUCCGUAGGAGACGUGAGUACCAGACACCUGGGCCUGCAUCCACAAAGCUUGGCGGCGUAGGAGCGCUGAUCUAGGAUCCGUUCAUGUACUCGUCGUGUUCAUUACGAUCAAAAAGGCCAAUACUGAUCCCAGAUCAGCACUUCUACUCUGAGAUGCUGUGCGUUAACGGGGGCCCAGAUCUAAACACUGAACACAUGAGAGUACAUUUAGGAUGACAACAAAGCACUUCAAUUACUGCAAUAAAGUUCUUAAAGAAAAAAGUCCACAGUACUUGGACCGAUCCAAUAGCAGUUGAUCAAAUAAUGUGUCAUAAGGUCAUGGCAGAAAAGAAAAGGAUGUUGAUACCAGGAUCGGUGUGGCAUUUAUUUCAUUCAUAUUUUGUCAGUUAUGGAUCAAGUGUUUCUUUUGUCAUUGAGGCAUGUUAUCUUGGUGUGUGUUGGUAAUGUGGUGUGUGUUGGUCGGGUACUUGGUGUGUGUUGGUAAUGUGGUGUGUGUUGGUCGGGUACUUGGUGUGUGUUGGUAAUGUGGUGUGUGUUGGUAAUGUGGUGUGUGUUGGUCGGGUACUUGGUGUGUGUUGGUAAUGUGGUGUGUGUUGGUCGGGGUACUUGGUGUGUGUUGGUAAUGUGGUGUGUGUUGGUCUGGUACUUGGUGUGUGUUGGUCGGGUACUUGGUGUGUGUUGGUAAUGUGGUGUGUGUUGGUCUGGUACUUGGUGUGUGUUGGUCGGGUACUUGGUGUGUGUUGGUAAUGUGGUGUGUGUUGGUCGGGUACUUGGUGUGUGUUGGUAAUGUGGUGUGUGUUGGUCUGGUACUUGGUGUGUGUUGGUCGGGUACUUGGUGUGUGUUGGUAUGUGGUGUGUGUUGGUCGGGUACUUGGUGUGUGUUGGUAUGUGGUGUGUGUUGGUCGGGUACUUGGUGUGUGUUGGUAAUGUGUGUGUGUUGGUCGGGUACUUGGUGUGUGUUGGUAAUGUGGUGUGUGUUGGUCGGGUACUUGGUGUGUGUUGGUAAUGUGGUGUGGUGUUGGUCGGGUACUUGGUGUGUGUUGGUAAUGUGGUGUGUGUUGGUCGGGUACUUGGUGUGUGUUGGUAAUGUGGUGUGUGUUGGUCGGGGUACUUGGGUGUGUGUUGGUAAUGGUGUGUGUUGGUCGGGUACUUGGUGUGUGUUGGGUAAUGUGGUGUGUGUUGGUCGGGUACUUGGUGUGUGUUGGUAAUGUGGUGUGUGUUGGGUCUGGUACUUGGUGUGUGUUGGUCGGGUACUUGGUGUGUGUUGGUAAUGUGGUGUGUGUUGGUCGGGUACUUGGUGUGUGUUGGUAAUGUGGUGUGUGUUGGUCUGGUACUUGGUGUGUGUUGGUCGGGUACUUGGUGUGUGUUGGUAAUGUGGUGUGUGUUGGUCGGGUACUUGGUGUGUGUUGGUAAUGUGGUGUGUGUUGGUCGGGUACUUGGUGUGUGUUGGUAAUGUGGUGUGUGUUGGUAAUGUGGUGUGUGUUGGUCGGGUACUUGGUGUGUGUUGGUAAUGUGGUGUGUGUUGGUCGGGUACUUGGUGUGUGUUGGUAAUGUGGUGUGUGUUGGUCGGGUACUUGGUGUGUGUUGGUAAUGUGGUGUGUGUUGGUCGGGUACUCGGUGUGUGUUGGUAAUGUGGUGUGUGUUGGUCGGGUACUUGGUGUGUGUUGGGUAAUGUGGUGUGUGUUGGUCGGGUACUUGGUGUGUGUUGGUAAUGUGGUGUGUGUUGGUCAGGUACUUGUGUGUGUUGGUAAUGGUGUGUGUUGGUCGGGUACUUGGUGUGUGUUGGUAAUGUGGUGUGUGUUGGUCGGGUACUUGGUGUGUGUUGGUAAUGUGGUGUGUGUUGGUCGGGUACUUGGUGUGUGUUGGUAAUGUGGUGUGUGUUGGUCGGGUACUUGGUGUGUGUUGGUAAUGUGGUGUGUGUUGGUCGGGUACUUGGUGUGUGUUGGUAAUGUGGUGUGUGUUGGUCGGGUACUUGGUGUGUGUUGGUAAUGUGGUGUGUGUUGGUCGGGUACUUGGUGUGUGUUGGUAAUGUGGUGUGUGUUGGUCGGGUACUUGGUGUGUGUUGGUAAUGUGGUGUGUGUUGGUCGGGUACUUGGUGUGUGUUGGUAAUGUGGUGUGUGUUGGUCGGGUACUUGGUGUGUGUUGGUAAUGUGGUGUGUGUUGGUCGGGUACUUGGUGUGUGUUGGUAAUGUGGUGUGUGUUGGUCGGGUACUUGGUGUGGUGUUGGUAAUGG
rnacentral:lncRNA from 1 species